GGCGUUCCGGGCCCCGCGCGCCGCGCCCAUGCCCCGCCCCCAGCCGGCCCGAGGCCCGGACUCCGACCCGCUGCCCGCGAGGGUGCGUGUGGAGGUGCGCCCCGCCGGAGUCCGGCCUUGUGCGCGCCAACCGCCCCCCGCCCACGGCGCGGAGCACCUCUGGUCUCCCCACUUGAACGGCGGGCCGCGCCGGCCCAUGAGGAAAGCGGGGUGCGGAGCUCGCCCCCUGCCGGAGGAUGCGCUCCGCCGGCGGGCACCCUGCGGGGACCACAGCCGGACGCCAGAAGUGACCUGACCGUGAAUGUGCGCUUUGCGUGCAGUCAUUGCAUCGUCGCAGGCCUAGGAGACAGAUGAAGAGAUGGCUCUUAAGGAAAUUCUCGGUUAUAUUGAAAAAUCCAGAAGCUCUGAAGAUACCAGUCAAAUAAAAUCACACCCUAUAACUCUA